rnacentral:ncRNA from 1 species
GAGAGCACAGUACGAUGAAAGUUGUAAGCUGUGUUCGGGAGGGGGGAGUUCUUGUCUAUCGUUGGCCUCUAUGGUAGAAUCAGUCAGGGGCCUGAUAGGCGGUAGUUUACCCUGC